rnacentral:pre_miRNA from 13 species
CCUGGUGCAGAGAACCUAAAGGUUUGGGGGAACAUUCAACGCUGUCGGUGAGUUUGGGCAGUAGAGGUUAAACCACCGACCGUUGAGUGUACCCCUCAGCCUAGACCUGCCGCCUGCCGGGCC